GUGCCUAUAGCUCAGUUGGAUAGAGCGGUCGCCUCCUAAGCGACAGGCCGUUGGUUCGAAUCCAAUUAGGCACG
rnacentral:tRNA from 1 species